rnacentral:lncRNA from 1 species
GUUGGUCCGGGAUCAUCAUCUAGGAGAUGUGAAAGUAAACUUGUGGCCUCGUUAAAAACCUUCCUUUGGAAAACCCAGUGGGACAAAACCAAAGGUUAGGAAAAGAGCACACACAAGCUACUUGCCUAGAUGAUGAUCAGCUUGAAGGUGGAGUAGCUUGAUUUGUGGUGAGUGUGUCUGGGUUGAUCAAGCUGCAACCAAGACAAUCUUCUUGCUUCCUUGACAUCUUGAGUAUUCCUCCAUCAGCUUCAUUGAGUUUCUUUGAUCUGGAACAAGUGUUGGGACCUUCAGGAAUGGCUAGGGCAUCUUCAUCUACAAGCUGGUCCAUGAUCACAUCAUCCCCUCCCUCUUCAAAAGGAUUUGACCUCAAAUCUGUUUUAUGUUGGGCUCUCCAUACUCCUGAUGCAUUCCUCAAACCUGAUUCACAAACAAUUAAAUAAAGCAAGUUAGUAUAUGAAGAUUUAUCAAAGAGUAAGAGUCUUAUCCCAAAGAGGUUUUUGCUCGGUUUUGGAUGGUAGGCUGCAUCUGGGGGUGCUUUUUUGAUGAGGACGAAGCUAGGGACGCCUUUGUGCUUAUCCUGGUCCAGAUCAGGUGGUUUGAAUCUCUUGUCUUCCUCACGCUUGUAGUUUCUUCUUGUAUGCUUCAAGGUUUCAUCAUAAUCUGCACAUGGCUCUUUUGACAAAGACAAGUGCAUCAUAUCUGUGUAAACAAUACAAAAAUAAUUCUUGAAGACAUGAUCAAUUACCUUAGGAUGCUCACCUGGUCGCCAUAGAUAGGAUUGAGAUGUUUUGAACUCAGAAAAAUUCAAACAAAGCACACAGAGGAUCAUCCGACUUGUAGAACCCAUAACUCUUUCAUCGGAGAAGCUUUGGACAUGAUUCCAAUUCGACGUGAGACCCUGAUGAGUUAAGUUUCCAUGGCAGUCGAUUUUGCUGAUUAAUUCCUUGUGGUGAUUGAGAUAUGAUCCUCGGACUGCUCCUAUGCCAAGACUGGCUGCUAGACAGCUUCCAAGGUUUGCUUGUUGUGUCUCCAACUUAGCCAAUGACUCAUCAUUGAUACUCUGAUAACUAUAGGCCCUCUUUUCGAAAAGUGUAGAGCUCAACACAGUUUGACCUGUUCGAACAGCAAGCAAAUCAGGUUUCAUAUUUUUCUUUGAGUUUAGAUAGAUACCUCGGGUUGGUUGCUUUGGAGUUUGUUGUAAGCUAUGUUGAUCUGGUGGUUUCUCCUUGAUUUGAGAAGAAAACGUGAGUUCUUCUCCUGAACCAGUAAUCACUUCACCAUUUUCUCCAGUGAAUCCUUGAUAGUGCUCUUGCAGGUCAUAAGACAAGGAUUCAUGAGCUGUUUCAGACUGCAAGUUUUUCUGCUGUUCUAACUCUUCUCCUUGUGUUGAUUGCUCUGGUUCUUUCUCUGAUGAGUCUUUUUCUGCAAGCUGUGUCAAAGAUAAAACACUACUCGGUUGCACCGGUUCUAGACAUGUUAGUUCAUCACAAGCUUGUGUAUUUUCAAGCAAGAAAUCAGAAUGAAAGGAGUGAUGAGAACACUCAUAAUUUCUCAGCAGAUUUGUUUCUUCAUGGUCUUUCAAGCAGUGUGAAGAAUCUGAGACUUCUUUCUCCUCAUAAGUGUUGUUCCCACGUUCAUCCUCAAGCUCUUGGGUUUCUUGGCUAAGGAAUAGAAAAGGUUCUUGAUUAUGUGCUUCAAUGAAUGGACGUGUUGUGUUGGUUGGCUUCAGUGGUUUCCCCACGUCCAUGCUCAACUGAGACAGCUCCUUGAUGUCCUCCUUACUGGUCCGGCUUGUUUUUUUGCUAGAUAAACUAAUGACACUGGUUGGACUUGAUCUCAGGUUGCCUUGUUGUUUCUGAACUGAGUUUGCAGAGCAUGUCUUUAUCUCAGACUGUUUUCGAAUUACUUCCUUGUGGUACUGUCUUGGAAUAAACUCUCUGCGCAUCAAAGUCCUCAGUUUAUGCCAUGUUUCCACAGAUUCUUUUCCUCUAAGUCUUCUGAUCCUUAUCAAGUGAUUCCACCAGCUUGAAGCAUAACUACAAAACUCAGCAGUAGCCAUCUGAACCUUCUUUCUUUCAGCAUAGUGUUGACAACUGAAAAACAGUUCUAUCUUCUCUUCCCACUUCACAUAUGCAGCAGGGUCAGGAUCUCCAAAGAAAAGAGGGAUUUUCAGCUUUUGAUCAGCAAAGUUGUUUCUGAUAUUGCCCUUGAUAUAAUCCUUAGAGAAUUCUCCUUUCUGAUCUCCUGCCAUGGUACCUGAGACAAGAGAAAAAAACUCAGCCAGUAAGCAGUUCACAACAAUUCAAUUUGCAAACCAGAAACAUAUUCAAAUCGAAACUUAAAACCUUAAACAAUUCUGAUUAAUUUUUAUCCCAGCCUGAUUAUUCUUACUCUUAACAGACCAAAACAAAAAUAAUAAACCCAAACACAAGCAGAUUCGAAAUCAGAUUCAACAAGAACAGAAACAGAUUUCAAACUGAAAUUAAAAUCUAAACUUCUCAGAUCAAUUUCGAAAUUUAAACAAAACAGAUCAGAAUCAACAGAUGAUGAUAUGAUAUUUAACAAUCACUGAUCUAUGAUGUAAAGAACAGAUCGAAAUAGAUUGAUAUCACUCAAACAGAAACAGAUCACACAGAUUUUACACAAGUAAACAUAGAUCUGAUUUCUCUGCAAGAAUAUGAAAAGUCUAAACACAAAAACGAAAUCAGAGAAAUAGACAAACACUUCCCUUCCAGAGAUGCUCUGAUACCACUUGAUGAGAUCCUAGGAUGAUGCUCUGGAACAGAUGGGAUAAUCCUUGCAGAAACGAAUCAAAAGACUCAAGCUUCUCAAGGUAUGUGAAUCGAAUGGUGACACAAGAGGCUGCGGAAAGGCUUCUUGAUACUCCUAGGCUUAGAUCGGAUAUGACACACCUCUCUAAAGCCCUUGGGCGUUGGAUAUUACACACCAACAGACUGGAUAUUACACACCAGACACACUUCAACUCGUCCAAGACAAGAGAGAAGAGAGAAAAGGGUUUUUGAUAAAAGAUUGCUUAAUGAUAAAGGGGGGUCACGACCAGAAUAUAAAGAGAGGCCCUUGUACAUGCACAAGGUCUCGAAAAUAGAAAUAAAAAUAAAGGGAACAGGCUCCCUUGGAAACUAAACAAAGACCAAGUUUUCGAUAUUAUUCAAAACAUAAAACAUAUGAUAAAAAUAACAUAAGAUAGAUAAUGUGGUUGGUCCGGGAUCAUCAUCUAGGAGAUGUGAAAGUAAACUUGUGGCCUCGUUAAAAACCUUCCUUUGGAAAACCCAGUGGGACAAAACCAAAGGUUAGGAAAAGAGCACACACAAGCUACUUGCCUAGAUGAUGAUCAGCUUGAAGGUGGAGUAGCUUGAUUUGUGGUGAGUGUGUCUGGGUUGAUCAAGCUGCAACCAAGACAAUCUUCUUGCUUCCUUGACAUCUUGAGUAUUCCUCCAUCAGCUUCAUUGAGUUUCUUUGAUCUGGAACAAGUGUUGGGAC